rnacentral:rRNA from 1 species
GAUGAACGCUGGCGGCGUGCUUAACACAUGCAAGUCGAACGGAAAGGCCCUGAUUUUGUGGGGUGCUCGAUUGGCGAACGGGUGUGUAAAACGUGAGUAACAUGCACUUAUAUUUGGGGUAAAUCCAGGAAACUGGGGCUCAUACAGGAUAGGAGCUUCUGAUGCACGGGGGGGGAUGGUAAGAGUCGGCGGUGUGGGCUGGAAUAGCGGCUUAUGCGCUUGUUGGUGGGGUAGUUGCUUUCCAAGGCUGUGAAGGGUAGCCGGCCUGAGAGGGUGACCAGCCUCAUGAGGCCUGCGGUACGGCCCAGUCUCCUACGUUAGGCAGUAGUGGGGAACCUUGCACAACGGGCGCACGCCUGAUGCAGCAACGCCGCGUUCGUGAUGACGUCCUACGGGUUGUAAACCGCUUUCGCCUGUGCUGAAGCGUUCGUGACGGUACUUGGUCAAGAAGCACCGGCUAACUACGUG